UACGUAGGGUGCGAGCGUUAAUCGGAAUUACUGGGCGUAAAGCGUGCGCAGGCGGCUUUGCAAGACAGAUGUGAAAUCCCCGGGCUCAACCUGGGAACUGCAUUUGUGACUGCAAGGCUAGAGUACGGCAGAGGGGGAUGGAAUUCCGCGUGUAGCAGUGAAAUGCGUAGAUAUGCGGAGGAACACCGAUGGCGAAGGCAAUCCCCGGGGCCUGUACUGACGCUCAGGCACGAAAGCGUGGGGAGCAAACAGG
rnacentral:rRNA from 1 species